GCCCGUUUAGUUUAGUUGGUAGAGCGCAGGGCUCUUAACCUUGUGGUCCUUGGUUCAAGCCCUAGGGUGGGCG
rfam:Ipomoea nil DNA, scaffold: scaffold3056, cultivar: Tokyo-kokei standard.